CGGUUACUCCCUGAAGUAGACGCCGCCCUUACGAAUCCUUUCUGCUGCUGCCUUCCGACCGCCGCUGGUGGCCUACUGCCGUCACUGAAAGUCGAUCACUCCAUUCUGUUCCUAGAAUUCACAGAGGCGUUUUGCGUUUGCCAUCUUCCUCCCUUGCUCGAAUUGCGGAUUCACCAUCUCCUUCUCUAAAAUCUCCCUCCCUUUGCAAUCAGAAAAUUUAUUCAAGCAAUAUGGCCUCAUCCUUGGAGAUUACAGCUGCAGAGUUCUUACAGG